AUUGAACGCUGGCGGCAGGCCUAACACAUGCAAGUCGAGCGAGUGGCGGACGGGUGAGUAAUAUAUCGGAACGUGCACAGUAGCGGGGGAUAACUACUCGAAAGAGUGGCUAAUACCGCAUCAUAUUGGUGCGGCCGAUAUCGGCUUAGAUAGUUGGUGGGGUAAAGGCUCACCAAGGAAACGACCCGUAGCUGGUUUGAGAGGACGACCAGCCACACUGGGACUGAGACACGGCCCAGACUCCUACGGGAGGCAGCAGUGGGGAAUUUUGGACAAUGGGGGAAACCCUGAUCCAGCCAUCCCGCGUGUAUGAGAAGGCCUUCGGGUUGUAAAGUACUUUUGGCAGAGAAGCGGUAUCUGCAGAAUAAGCACCGGCUAACUACGUGCCAGCAGCCGCGGUAAUAC
rnacentral:rRNA from 1 species